GACGAACGCUGGCGGCGUGCCUAAUACAUGCAAGUCGAGCGGACUUGAAGGAGUGCUUGCACUCCUGAUAGUUAGCGGCGGACGGGUGAGUAACACGUAGGUAACCUGCCCGUAAGACCGGGAUAACAUUCGGAAACGAAUGCUAAUACCGGAUACGCAAUCUGGUCGCAUGGCCGGGUUGGGAAAGGCGGAGCAAUCUGCCACUUACGGAUGGACCUGCGGCGCAUUAGCUAGUUGGUGAGGUAACGGCUCACCAAGGCGACGAUGCGUAGCCGACCUGAGAGGGUGAUCGGCCACACUGGGACUGAGACACGGCCCAGACUCCUACGGGAGGCAGCAGUAGGGAAUCUUCCGCAAUGGACGAAAGUCUGACGGAGCAACGCCGCGUGAGUGAUGAAGGUUUUCGGAUCGUAAAGCUCUGUUGCCAGGGAAGAACGCUUGCGAGAGUAACUGCUCGCAAGGUGACGGUACCUGAGAAGAAAGCCCCGGCUAACUACGUGCCAGCAGCCGCAGUAAAAC
rnacentral:rRNA from 1 species